rnacentral:rRNA from 1 species
UACGUAGGUGGCAAGCGUUGUCCGGAUUUACUGGGCGUAAAGAGCGCGCAGGCGGUGUGUCGCGUCGGCCGUGAAAACUUGCAGCUUAACUGUGGGCGUGCGGUCGAUACGGGCAUCACUGGAGUUCGGCAGGGGAGACUGGAAUUCCUGGUGUAGCGGUGAAAUGCGUAGAUAUCGAGAGGAACACCUGCGGCGAAGGCGGGUUGCUGGGCUGAUACUGACGCUGAGGCGCGAAAGCCAGGGGAGCGAACGGG